rnacentral:tRNA from 1 species
UCCCUGGUGGUCCAGCAGUUAAGACUCUGCACUCUCAAUGCAGAGAGCCAGGUUCCAUCCUGGUCAAAGAA